rnacentral:rRNA from 1 species
AUUGAACGCUGGCGGCAGGCCUAACACAUGCAAGUCGAACGAGUGGCGGAGGGGUGAGAAAUGUCUGGGAAACCGCCAGAGGGAGGGGGAUAACUACUGGAAACGGUAGCUAAUACCGCAUACCAUCAGAUGUGCCAAUAUGGGAGUAGUGAGUGGGAGGGGUAACGGCUCACCAAGGCGACGAUCCCUAGCUGGUCUGAGAGGAUGACCAGCCACACUGGAACUGAGACACGGUCCAGACUCCUACGGGAGGCAGCAGUGGGGAAUAUUGCACAAUGGGCGCAAGCCUGAUGCAGCCAUGCCGCGUGUAUGAAGAAGGCCUUCGGGUUGUAAAGUACUUUCAGCGGGGAGGCGUUACCCGCAGAAGAAGCACCGGCUAACUCCGUGCCAGCAGCCGCGGUAAUAC